GGCCACUCUCCUCAGGCGUCUUGCCAUUGGGGCCGGUGGCAAGUCAGAACGUCUGCCAUGGAGCAGCGAGCCUCAGAGUGUGACGAUUGCAGUGAGUGUGUGACAUUGAGUAGGCAUCCUAAUUUACAUUGAAAAUAUAUGGCCAGUGAAGAAACAGCCUGGAGAGAUCUACACUCACAUGGAUCUUGAUACCCCAGACAUCACAAACUCCUUGAGGUUACAGCUUGUGUUGCACUCAUCUUUAUAUUCUGAAUCUAACAUUGUGACUGGCACAGAGCAGACACCUGACAGUACAAGGAGUGUGAUGCUACCAUCUGCUUCUGUGGAGGCCUCAGGAGGCUUACAGUCAUGGUGGAAGGUGAAGGAGGAGCAGUCAUUUCACAUGGCAACAGCAGAAGCAAGAGGAAGAUAUGGACGGAGCCACUUUUAAACAACCGGAUCUCUCGAGAACCCGUUCAUGAUCUGGAGGACAGCACCAAGCCAUGAGGGAUCCACCCCUCUGGCCCACACACCUCCCCCAGGCCACACCCCAGCAUUGAGGAUGACAUUUCCACAUGAGAUUUGGAGGGGUCAGGCAUCCAAACCCCAUGUCAAUGACCUUUCUCUCCCAGUGAUGUCAGAGGACACUUAUCAUUUGUGCCACGCUAACCUGUGGGUACAGCCUGAUUCUUAUUUUCCCUUUGUUUAUUUACUCAUUUUUUUUGUUUGUGAAUUUUGUCUCUCCACUGGGCCAUUAAUUAAUUCAUUAUAUUAGUUAGAAUUCUCCAGAGAAACAGAACCAACAAGAGAUAGAUAGAUGAUAGAUAGAUAUAUAGAUAGAUAGAUAGAUAGAUAGAUAGAUAGAUAGACAGAUAGAUUGAUUGAUAGAUAGAUAGGAGGGGUUCAAUAUUAUGAGAAAUGGUUUGCCUGAUUCUAGAGGCUGAGAUAUUGUGCUGCCUGAAAACCGGAGAACCAGGGAAGGUGUGGUACAAAUCAGUCCAGGGCUGACAGCCCAAGAAGCUCAGUCUGUGACAGUGGGUGUCCCAGCUCCAGAGAAAGAGUGUGUUCGCCCUUGCUCUGCCGUUUUGUUCUCUUAGAGCCCUCCGUGUACUGGGGGGUGCUUGCCCACAUUGGUGAGGGUGAUCUCCUUUACUGAGUCCACUGAUUCACAUGCUACCCCUUCUGGAAACAGCCUCACACACACACCCAGAAAGAAUGUUUUACCAGCUAUAUGGGCAUCUCUUAACCCAGUCAAGGUGAUGCAUAAAAUUAAUGCUCACACUCACCUAGAUCUUACAGCUCACAUUUUCCUAGCAGAGAAGAAUGGAUUGCUAUAGCAAUGAGGGUUCUUAGAGACUCAGGAUGUUCGCCCUGCAGAAAUUACCUCUAAAUUAAUCCCAGCUGGAAGUCAGAGAGCCUCUAUAAAACAUAGCCUGUGUUCAGCCACAUUGAUUUUUAUUAUGGGAAAUAUAUGAAAAUUCAGCAAAGGUGACGGAGUGCCUUCUGAAGAGAACCCAGUGGAGAUUCUUACCACCAUUAAAAACAAGCUCAUCAUCAGUUCAUCUUAUUGGUGUGAGAUUUGCUUCACAAUCUUCAAAUAAUGUUACAGAAGAUUUCAUCUGAAACUACACAUUUUGGGGAUUUUUAUUUAGGCUUUCAUUUAAAACACCGAACACUGAAUAAAAGAAUCUAAGCCUAUUAUCUAUAUAUCUAUGGCAAAGUUUCUUCACUUUAUUGUCAAAAGUUUACAUAAAGUUGAAACCAGAAAAAAACAUUUUUUUCUUAACUAUCUAAUAUUGGUGAGAAAUUGAGAGAUACUUUUUUUUUUUUUUUUGGAUGGAGUUUUUGCUGUUGUUGCCCAGGCUGGAGUGCAAUGGCACAAUCUCGGCUCACUGCAACCUCCACCUCCUGGGUUCAAGCCAUUCUCCUGCCUCAGCCUCCUGAGUAGCUGGGAUUACAGGCAUGCACCACCAUGCCCGGCUAAUUUUGUAUUUUUAGUAGAGAUGGGGUUUCCCCAUGUUGGUCAGGCUGGUCUCGAACUCCUGACCUCAGGUGAUUCGCUCGCCUCGGCGUCCCAAAGUGCUGAGAUUACAGGCAUGAGCCACCGCGCCUGGCCGAGAGAUAUCUUUUUACCUUGAGGUAUAUUUAGAGUUGACCUCAACAUACCACUGUACUCAGUUGAACAGAUAUAAUUAGAUUUAUAAUUAUCUUUUAAAAAGUUGUUCUAAUACUAACAGUUUAAAUAAUGUGAGUAUCCAAUUACUUGGUUUUAUUAUCCUACAUAUUUAACACUUACAUCCA
rnacentral:lncRNA from 10 species